ensembl:lncRNA
UAAUAAUAAUAGUGCUAAUAAUACUAAUAGUAGAUUAUAAUAAUAUCAAUAAUGGAUAAUAGUUAAUAAUAUAGAAAUAAAAUAGAAUAAUAUAGGAAAUAAAAUAAAAUAAAAUACAAUAAAUUAAUAUAGGAUUAAAUAGGCUCUUCCUUCUCUUUUCUUUCUCUCUCUCUCUCUCUCUCUUUUUUUCUCUCUCUCUCUCUCUCUUUCUCACCUCUUUUUUUAAAUUAGUGGGAACAAAAUGGCUGCCUGUGCUCAUCAGGAUCCAAAAUGGUGGUCCAGCUGGACAUGGACUGGUUGCCCCUGGUGACAAGAAGAUGGAAGACCCAAGAUGGUGGAGGAACUCAUCCAGAUCCAAUAUGGCGGUUCGUUGUAAACAAAUACAGUCGCCCUUGGUUACAAAAUGGUGGAGGGCUAAUGCUAAUGCUAAGCUAAUGCUAACAAUUAUAUGACAGUGACACAUGAUAUAGGACAAUAUGUACAUGUGACUAGUCAACUUUAUAUUGAAUUUUGUUGAUGCUAAUAUGGAAGCUAACAUUACACUAUGGCUAAAGCUAAUGAUCCAAGAUGGCGAUUAUAAACAAAAUGGUUACCGUGGAGAGAAGAUGGCGGAUUUCAAAAUGGCAGUUCAAGGAUACAAAAGUGGUUGCCCUGGAUACUGACCAAGUGCAUGAUGGGAACCAGGAAGUCAGACCAGGCAGAGCACAUGGAGCUCAGGGAGCAGCUGGCAGACAGGUCAGGCAGGGAGGAAGCCUCAUUUGAAGAACAAGGUACAAGUAAGUGGGAAUACAUGAUAACAAAUAUAGGAAACGUAUGAAGGAGAAGCAUCUAUGUGAUGAUAUUAAUACUUUAACUUUGUAGAAGCUAAAAGCGAAUAAUUGUGAGCUAAUGAGUAAAAUUUUCAAAGUCACGUACAUACGUUAGAUUUCCAUGAGCCCAAAUAGGGCCUCGUUAGCUCUUUAAAAUGCGGCUCAACAAGACAGUAUGUCAUUAAAUGUGAACAACAAUUAACGGUACAACAGGAAUACUUGAUUUUGGAUGGUUUUAUUGAAAUGAAGAUAAAACGACUAUCGUUAGGAUUUUACAAAAUCACAGCACCUCGUUGGAUUUGGACUGGACUUGACAGGGCCUAAUUGGCCCCUUGGAAACUUUAAAAAUUAAAGCCCAGAUAGGCAUUAAUUAAUUACUGUUAUUUUAUUUAGUUGAAUUGUGAACUAAUGAGUCAAAUUUUCAAAGUCACGUAUAUACGUUAGACUUCCAUGAGCCCAAAUAGGGCCUCAUUAACUCUUUGAAAUGCGACUCAACAAGACAGUAUGUCAUUAAAUGUGAACAACAAUUAACGGUACAACAUUGACCCCUUGGAAACUUUAAAAAUUAAAGCCCAGAAAGGCAUUAAUUAAUUACUGUUAUUUUAUUUAGUUGAUGACACACCCCAAGGCUUGAUCAACCUGGGCGGGGCCUUCCUUGGAAGAGGGUGUCUAGUGAUAAAUGGCCGAAACACCCAAUGAUUCCAAGGUCCACUACUGAUGAUGUGUCCUUAAAUAUUACCUUAAAAAAUUAAAAUACACAAUAAUGUCAAAUUAAGGAGACAAUAAAAAGAUAAUACAAUAAAAUAAAUAAAAAGAAAACGUAACAAUGAUAAAGGAUUGAAAAGAACAUAGAUCCUGACUAAGAAAAGUAUUUAAACAAUAGGUUAAGUGUGUAAAUGAAGGGCACCAUAUAAAUGGGGAGUGGCCAAAAGUGCUGUCUCAGGGCCUCCUGGGGGCAAGCUGGUCACUUCUCAAGGACAGAAGGAGGAGGACUGAGACGGGGAAGGGAGAUGGGGACUGAGCAUGACGUGCGGUGGCCCGUGCCUUUCCAGUGGCCCUCCAUCCAACCACCCAGUCGUCGGACGAAGUGGGGAGGGAUCAUUGCGUUUUCUCUCACAAACCCUAACCCUACCC